rnacentral:rRNA from 1 species
AGAGCUCAAAUUUUAAAUCUGGCGCCUUCGGUGUCCGAGUUGUAAUCUAUAGAAGUGUUUUCCGCGGUGGACCGUGUACAAGUUUCCUGGAACGGUACGUCAUAGAGGGUGAGAAUCCCGUAUGUGGCACGGACUCCCAUUGCUAUGUGAUACACUCUCAACGAGUCGAGUUGUUUGGGAAUGCAGCUCAAAGUGGGUGGUAAAUUCCAUCUAAAGCUAAAUAUUGGCGAGAGACCGAUAGCGAA